rnacentral:rRNA from 1 species
UACGGGGGGGGGCUAGCGUUGUUCGGAAUUACUGGGCGUAAAGGGCGCGUAGGCGGUCUGCUAAGUUGGAUGUGAAAACUCUGGGCUUAACCCAGAGCCUGCAUUCAAUACUGACAGGCUAGAGUUCUGGAGGGAUAGCGGAAUUCCUGGUGUAGCGGUGAAAUGCGUAGAUAUCAGGAGGAACACCGGUGGCGAAGGCAGCGUUCUGGGAAGCAAACUGACGCUCA